UGGUCCUUGAUGAUGUAGAUGACGUA
rnacentral:piRNA from 1 species